CAUGCCGUAAACGAUGAGUGCUAAGUGUUAGGGGGUUUCCGCCCCUUAGUGCUGCAGCUAACGCAUUAAGCACUCCGCCUGGGGAGUACGACCGCAAGGUUGAAACUCAAAGGAAUUGACGGGGGCCCGCACAAGCGGUGGAGCAUGUGGUUUAAUUCGAAGCAACGCGAAGAACCUUACCAGGUCUUGACAUCCAACUAACGAGGCAGAGAUGCGUUAGGUGCCCUUCGGGGAAAGUUGAGACAGGUGG
rnacentral:rRNA from 1 species